CUGGAGCACGACGACAAGAAACAAGUAGUGUCAACACCAACAAUUUACACUGCUAAAAAAGGACCAAUAAUAAUAGUCAUGAAUUGGUUGUUACAUUUACUUGUUGCAUUUCUAAUCGGGAUCAACUCUGCUGCUUCACAAUGGAUCGUCGAAAGCUUACCCGGUUACGCCGGAACUCUGCCUUUCAAACUUGAAACCGGAUAUAUUGGAGUGGGAGAGAAUGAUGAAGUGCAGCUGUUUUACUACUUCAUUGAGUCGGAAAAUGAGCCAACGAGGGAUCCUCUGCUGCUCUGGCUCAACGGCGGCCCCGGUUGCUCUGCCUUCUCCGGCCUCGUUUAUGAAAUCGGUCCCCUGGCCUUUGAUAUUGAAAAUUUUGAUGGGAGCUUACCAUCUUUCAUACUCAACCCAUAUUCUUGGACUAAGGUUGCCAACAUCAUAUUUCUAGAUUAUCCAGUGGGAACUGGAUUCUCCUAUUCCAACACAUCAAAAGGCUACGCCUCCUCCGACACCAAAUCAACACAACAUAAUUACACAUUUCUACGCAAGUGGUUGUUGGCUCAUCCUGCAUUUAUAAAAAAUGCUCUGUAUGUUGCUGGUGACUCUUAUGGAGGCCAUAUUGUUCCAAUGCUUGCUCUUCAAAUAGCACAAGGCAAUGAAGCUGGAAUGCAGCCAAUAAUGUCGCUCAAAGGCUACAUUAUUGGAAAUCCAGUGACAGAUGAAAAUAAGGAUUCCAAUGAAGUGAUACCGUAUGCUCACAGAAUGGCACUCAUAUCAGACGAACAAUUUAAGCUAGCCAGAACCAGCUGCGACGGAGAGUAUGUGAAUCCAGAUCCAAAUAAUGUCAAAUGUUUAUUUGCUCUUUACAUUACCGAACAGUGCACCAAGUUGAUCAACUAUGCUCACAUUCUGGAGCCAACAUGCAAUUUCAUGUCACCAAGACCAAGUGAUUCUAGAAGGUUCCAACCAUGGCUGGUAGAUGAUCCAGUCGACUUCCUCUCCCUCUCCCUCUCCCUCUCCCUCUCCAACCGAGAUGAACUAAAAUGCCGCACUCGGAACUAUUUGACAUCCUAUGUGUGGGCAAAUGACGAAAGUGUAAGAGAAUCUCUGCACAUCAGAAAGGGAACGAUAACUGCUUGGGUGAGAUGUAACAAGAGCUUAAGCGACGAGUACUAUGAAUAUGACAUAGAAAGUGUUGUGGAAUAUCAUCAAAUUCUGAGUGAUAGAGGCUUUCAAGCCUUGGUUUAUAGUGGUGAUCACGAUAUGAAUAUACCUUACAUGGCUACAUUAAAAUGGAUACGCAAACUGAAUGUGAGCCUCGACGAUGAAUGGAGGGCGUGGACCGUUGACGGUCAAGUUGCAGGAUACACAGAGAAGUACACGAACAAGCAGGGUAGCCUCGUAUUUGCUACAGUCAAGGGUGCAGGGCAUACAGCGCCAGAGUACAAUCCUAAAGAAUGUCUAGAAAUGAUAAAAAGAUGGUUAUCUGUCUACCCACUGUAGCAUUUUGAUGGUGUGCAAUAAUUGAAAUGUAGAGUGGGAUUGGGUGGGUGAGCGGAAUAAAUUUAGAAUGUGAUUGGUGGGGUACGGUACGGCAGUACUGUGCAACACAUCACAUGGGAGACGCCGACGCAGCUCUUCAUAAAUAUUGCCUUUUUCCCUUUGGAACUAAAUAUUAAACGGCAUAUAUUUAGAAUAGGAGGGAGUACUUCAUUUUGGAAGUUAUCUUUAUUCUCACAUUCGGAAUUAUUUUAGUGGGAGGCUGGACUCAGCUGGACCCAAAAUGUACACUCACGUUUCUUCAAUUGCACACAGAUCUUCAAACAGGCA